rnacentral:rRNA from 1 species
AAACCGACGCCAGAACGCACGCUGGACGCCAGAGUUGUCGACGAAUUCGACAACCUGAGAUUGGCCGACCCGUCCUUCUACCGGAGAAGUACGAUAUCCUUUAUUUUAGGUGCUGAUAUCUACGCAGCGAUCUUAAGACCAGGAUUAAUGCCUGCAACGCCAACCAGGCCAGCCGCACAGAACACGCUGUUUGGAUGGGUGAUAUCCGGCAGUACACCAUAUUGAGGCGUAGGAAACAAAACUGUAUUUAUCUAACCAUUUAAAUAUUUCUAUUGCAGUGAUGCUGCAAGGCGGGCGGAAUGUUUAUGUGUGUAACCCUGUGCAAUCAUCAUUUCCACCAAGAGAUGUCGCUGCGUUCAAAACAAGUAUAACCAGUAUACAUGACUCGACUUAUUAAUGAGAAAGAUGCAGUUAUGUCCGUUUUAGAUUUCCACCUUCUGUGGAAUCUUUAAAAGGCCGUAGUUGCCGGUCUAACGUCCUCUUUUUGAUUUCAGCUUUGAACGCAGCAACAUCUCCGAUGAAUACCUUCACAUUUUAAAAUAAAUAUCAUUUUAAACCCACUAUAUGAAUUCACUUGGUUUUUUUAAUUGUUGAGCCACUUGGCGUAGAAAGUAGGAUACUUUAAUUUUCAGCUUUCAAGGAACGGCAACCCGAGCCCCGUUGCCGGAAUCCACGAGGAAUUUCGGCCCCAAUAAUUCUCGAAAGAAACAAUACCUCUAACUGGAGCGUACCUUGGGCAUAUAUGCUGUGACCCGAAAGAUGGUGAACUAUACUUGAUCAGGUUGAAGUCAGGGGAAACCCUGAUGGAAGACCGAAACAGUUCUGACGUGCAAAUCGAUUGUCAGAAUUGAGUAUAGGGGCGAAAGACCAAUCGAACCAUCUAGUAGCUGGUUCCCUCCGAAGUUUCCCUCAGGAUAGCUGGUGCAUUUAAAUAUUAUGUAAAAUAAUCUUAUCUGGUAAAGCGAAUGAUUAGAGGCCCUAGGGUCGAAACGACCUUAACCUAUUCUCAAACUUUAUAUGAGUAAGAACCUCACCUUUCUUGAUAUUAAGGUUGAGGUUAUGAUAUAAUGUGCCCAGUGGGCCACUUUUGGUAAGCAGAACUGGCGCUGUGGGAUGAACCAAACGUAAUGUUACGGUGCCCAAAUUAACAACUCAUGCAGAUACCAUGAAAGGCGUUGGUUGCUUAAACCAGUGGACAUGGAAGUUGUUAUCCGCUAAGGAGUGUGUAACAACUCACCUUCCGAAGCUACUAGACCUUAAAAUGGAUGGCGCGUUAUAUUAUAAAUUUUGAAGCUUUAGUGAGUAGGAGGGUACAAUGGUGUGCUUAGAAGUGUUUGGCGUAAGCCUGCAUGGAGCCGCUAUUGGUACAGAUCUUGGUGGUAGUAGCAAAUAAUCGAAAGAGACCUUGGAGGACUGAAGUGGAGAAGGGUUUCGUGUGAACAGUGGUUGAUUACGAGUUAGUCGGUAAUAAGUUCAAGGCGAAAGCCGGAAAUUUUCAAGUUUUAAUGAAAUGAAAAUGUAUAAUUUUCAUAGUAAUUAAACACUUGAAUAAUUUUGAACGAAAGGGAAUACGGUUCCAAUUCCGUAACCUUUUGAGUAUCCGUUUGCUAUUAAAAAUGGGCCAUUGUUCUCACCCUGGCAACAGGAAAGACCAUAAAGAAGACGUCGAGAGAUAUCGGAAGAGUUAUCUUUUCUGUUUUAUAGUCGUACUACCAUGGAAGUCUUUCGAAGAGAGAUAUGGUAGAUGGACUAGAAGAGCAUGACAUUUACUGUUGUGUCGAUAUUUUCUCCUCGGACCUUGAAAAUUUAUGGUGGGGUUACGCAAACUUCUCAACAGGCCGUACCAAUAUCCGCAGCUGGUCUCCAAGGUGAAGAGUCUCUAGUCGAUAGAAUAAUGUAGGUAAGGGAAGUCGGCAAAUUAGAUCCGUAACUUCGGGAUAAGGAUUGGCUCUGAAGAUUGAGAUAGUCGGGCUUGAUUGGGAAGCAAUACCAUGGUUUAUGUACUCGUUCUGGGUAAAUAGAGAAUUUCGGUUCUUGUUCCCCGGAUAGUAGUUACGUAGCCAAUUGUGGAACUUUCUUGCUAAAAUUUUUAAAGGAUUAUAUCGUAAGAUAUAUAUUCUUUUUAAAUUAUAACGAUUAUCAAUUAACAAUCAAUUCAGAACUGGCACGGACUUGGGGAAUCCGACUGUCUAAUUAAAACAAAGCAUUGUGAUGGCCCUAACGGGUGUUGACACAAUGUGAUUUCUGCCCAGUGCUCUGAAUGUCAAAGUGAAGAAAUUCAAGUAAGCGCGGGUAAACGGCGGGAGUAACUAUGACUCUCUUAAGGUAGCCAAAUGCCUCGUCAUAUAAUUAGUGACGCGCAUGAAUGGAUUAACGAGUGUUGAGUUGCUGCAGGAUGGUUGGUUAACUGAUAGGGACCUAGAGUGUGGGAACUUGGGAUGCCGUACGCUUCCAAGUACAUGUGCGUUUAGGAAGUGACAAGACCGUUGGGAAAAUAGAUCUAAUGGUCGCGUGCCAUAUGAGUACAUUUGGGAUGUCUCGUUUGUGGUGGAAAAUCCAGACUUCGGAUUUUCUCUGAGUAUGGGUUUUCUGCUAACCGGUCAUGGGCCUCUAAAUGCUUUUCUGCAUGAGAGGCACUUGAGCGGAACGGCGAGCUGUGAGUGUAGUAUAGAGCGAGAGGAUUGGAUGCAUGUGUUGUGUUAAUGCCCGAUGUACUCAGACAUUAAGCACUUAGGGGGUUUGGGAAUAGUUAGGACAGAGGGACGGUAUAGGGUAUGUGAUGUUCUCUGAUGUGGAGAGUACAUUACGUGUGUUUGAAGUGUUUGCGCAUGAUGUGUUUAGACGGCGAAGUCAUCUGAGGUUUAAUUGACCAUUAGAUUUGGAGUAUGAAUGAGCAUAUUUGAGUCGGUACGCGGAGAAUGAAGUUCAACCCCAGGCCACCAGUCCGGAGAUGUAUGGAAGCUCAACUGGUAGUAGUUUCGGCUACGAGGUUCGACCGGAGACCUAAAUCUGGUACCACAGGGAACAGGAGCCCUCGGAGCUUGCUCCGACCUGUUCAUGCGGAUAGGCACCCUCGGGAAGCAUCGUGCGGCCGUGGUUUAAACCCAAGUGCGGGAAGAGUUGAUGUUUUGUCA